UGCGCCCUUGUCUCUUAUGUCUUCUACAUUGACAAGUGGGUUCUUUACCACUAGCACCACCUGGGAAGCCCAUAGCAACCAAUACUGCCAGUCCUUUCUGCUCCAGCUUGGAAGCUGGAGGCUUGUUUUUGCUUGAGAAGCUGCUCUAAGCUGAGCUGGGCUCGGCUGGCUGGUUUGGGUGGUGCCAGCAUCAUGGCUUCUGAACUGCUGUUUUAGGGAGAUUUGUGAUGGUAAUUUGACGUGUCAGGCUCUUAGCUUUCUCUCUUUCCAGUUGGAUGAAAGGAAGACCUUGUGUUCUUUAUUAAAGCAAGCGGGUAGGACUGAACGAACUUCAAGACCCAGACCAGAUCCAUAGUGACCACGAUGGUUUCUCCUGAAGCAGCCCUGAAACCGAAGUCUCCUGGUGGCCAGGAGGUGGAAGAUUCCUGGUCAUCUGGGCUUCCAGGAUCCAGCUUAUUCUUCAUGUGUUGCUAAAAGAGGACAGAGCAGUUGUUCUCAUAACAGUUCCCUGGCUGAGCAAAUGCUGCAACCCAGUCAUCAGCACUGAAGGCAAUUGAGUUCAUGACCUACAUCCUGACUGUUUCUAAACGGAGCUGUAGCCACCCAGUGCUUUAUUUCAUGGAUGAUCAGCCUUCAAAACUGUGCAACGGUGAUUGGGCAUGAAUCCUGUAAGUGCCAAUAAUGUGUGAAGAAAACAUUUCUGAGGAGGAGAGGAGGAACCAGUGCCUUCUAGACCGAGAGGAGCAAAGAGGGUGAUUUUCUCCACUGGAGGAGUUCGCUAAUUCAUCAGGAACCAGGAACUGCCCAGUAGUCGGUCCUCUGCAGUUUACAAAAUGCUUUUCUUGAGUUGUCUGUUUACACGUGUGCUUCUUCAACAAGGAACUAUACACAAAGCUGUGGGAAAACAGAUGGAGGGGCUGAGUCAGUCUGGAGGGAUCAGGGAAGACUUCACAGAGGAGGUGACAUAUUGCUGUGUCUUAAAGCCUAAGAAGAAAGGAAGACAUGAUCCAGGCAAAGGGAACAGCAUGUACAGACUCAAGGAGGAAGCUCACUCUGGAAUCUGAAUAGAGAUUGAGCCGUUCUGGAGUGUAUAGGGGGCUGUGCUGGGCACAGCCUAUUGGACCCCUGUGUGAGACAACUGACCUUUUAUUUUAAAGGUUUAAUGGCUACAGCCUGGACAGGCAUUGCUAAUCAACCACAGCAUCAUCCUCAUGCUACAACCGAAGAAACAGAAAGGGAUGGAAAUGUGGACCCAGGACCCACCAAAUUAGGAAGCAAUGGAGCCAAGCCUGGGGUCGGCAACCAGACAGAUGCGGCGAGCUUGAGGUUCAGACAAGCACGGGCUGGGUGGAAUGGGAUAAUGAAUGCUGUGUGUGAGUUCAGCACCAGAUGAGCCAAGAGACAUCGUUUGUCCUUUUGGCAGUGAACGGCAAUGAAGAAAAGUGGCUGCAGUGGACCAGGGUCUGACCUGGUGUCGUCAAGAUAAUUACUGUCAUCUGUGGAUCUGUGGUGCCAAGGGAAUUCUCCUGGGACCUUACCAGUAUUGAUAUGUGACCAGCCAGGAAGCUGCCUGGAGCCCCAUCUGUAGGAAAUACAAGAAUCCCACUGGAAAUUUAAUGUGAUGGAGAACAUUUAAUGGAGUUACUUUCAGGACAAGUCCUAUGAUUUUUGGGAGAUUUGGGCAAGUAUAAGGAGAGCUCCCUCCGUGACAUCCCUGCUACCCUUUGGUGGACCCAGGCACCAAGGUUUCUUCUCUGCCCCACAGACAGCCGGGGCUCACUCCUAUUUUCUGUUGUUUUCAUUUUUGGACAACCCCCACCUUCUGUGAGGUUUCUCCAGGAAGCCUCUCUACACUGUGACCUCACAGAAGAGGAAACAAUCACAGAGAGGUUGGCAGUGAGCCCUGUCAGUCAAGGCUCAUUUGAUUGGUAUCACCAUGACCCAGGCCCUGUCAUUAAGGGGAACUCGUGUGAGCGGCCUGCUGCUGGUGGGGGCGACGGGGCUCCCUAGAGCUGCUGAAGUGGGCAGGCUCCAGCCACACAGUUGAUCCUUCCAGUGGAAGCGCACCUGUCAGUCCAAUACUCCAAACCCCUCGCCUCCCAAGGAGGCAGGUGGAAAGAGAGUGGGAGGAAAGCAGACAGGAUUGAGCUGAUGACCAUCCAGAAGCCCCCCCAGGACAGUGGGACCAUUUUGGAGCAUAGUCCACAUCUAGGCAAGGAAACCUUGCCCAGUGGCCCUCCGGCAGGCUUGCAUCUCAUUGGCCAGAAUCACCCAUCUAAGCCCAAAGGACCACCAUGAUUGGCUGAAAGCAAUCAGACCUGGUUCUUAGGGCGUGGCCUCUCCAGAAGCCUCUCACAGAGGAAGAACUUAUGAGUGCCUAUCUCCAAGAGGAAGGAGGACGUGGAGUUUUGUUCCUUCCUGUGUCGGGGCAAAGAGUCUCUCUAGAUGGUCCAACACCCAACCCAGCAGCUGAGCCCAGGGCCCGAUAAUGGAAUUGAAGAAAUCUGAAUGAAUCGUCUGAUGUGUCAUGACUAAGCCUGCAAUGUGCCAAGUGUCCCCCAGGAGAGGCCCUUGGAUAACAGACCGGAGCACCACAAUUAUGCGCUGGAGACCAUUCCAAGAGAGCCACCGACAUCAGUAGCUCUGAGUUCUAGAAGCUCUUGGAGGGUUUGAGGAAUUGUCCAGUGGAUUUGUGGCACCAGGCUCUCAGCAUGGGACUGGGGGGUCGUGAUGCAGCUCGCUAGUCCAGCUCUGGUGGUGGAGGGAUCUCCCAGUGCAUGCAGCCUGCUUCACUUCUGGGCAGUUUCAAUUACUCUCUAGUUCUUUUACUGAUCCCAUCUUGACCUCCCAGAUCUGUGUCUUGCUCUUUGUUUAAGCUUCUGGAGCCUUGUAGGCUCAUUCUCAUUUCAUUUCCACUGACACCCAAGUGUGUUCAGGGAGCCCUUAAGCAUUUCUUUUUCUGCCUUCACUCCCCUUCUGCCUCCUUACCACAUCUAUUCUUCUCCAGGGAGAAUAUUCUCAAUUUUAUUGACUGUUCUUCUGGUGGUUUUAUGGUUAGGUGCCUUUACCAUCUGGAUCAAUGGAUAUGAGAUUUAUUAAUAUUUAUAUCUUGCUUGACAUGGACUCCUUAGAAAUCUUGUACUCAUAUAGAUGAUGGUAGCCAAGAGCUUUUAAUGGGCUUGAGCUCUGUGCCACUAAUACUGCGUGUUCAUUUUCUCUUUAAUUAUGUGUGUGUGUGUGUGUGUGCUAAGUUGCUUCAGUCCUGUCUGACUCUUUGAGACCCUAUGGACUGUAGCCUGCCAGGCUCCUCUGUCCAUGGUGCAAUGACCUUUUAAAAUUGAUACUAUUGGGCUAGCCAAAAAG